UAAGCACUUAAGGUGUGGAGCCGUAGCGAAAGCGAGUUUUAACUGAGCGUUCAGUUACUUGACGUAGACCCGAAACCGGGCGACCUACCCAUGAGCAGGAUGAAGCGAAAGUAAAAUUUCGUGGAGGUCCGAACCCACGAGCGUUGAAAAGCUCGGGGAUGACUUGUGGGUAGCGGUGAAAUUCCAAUCGAGCCCGGAGAUAGCUGGUUCUCCCCGAAAUAGCUUUAGGGCUAGCCUCAAGGUGAGAGAUACGGAGGUAGAGCACUGAAUGUCCUAGGGGGUAUUGCACCUACCGAAGACUAUCAAACUCCGAAUGCCGUCAUCUUAUACUUGGGAGUCAGACUGUGGGUGAUAAGAUUCAUAGUCGAAAGGGCAACAGCCCAGAUCGUCAGCUAAGGUCCCUAAAUGUAAGUUAAGUGGUAAAGGAUGUGGGAUUGCACAGACAACCAGGAUGUUGGCUUAGAAGCAGCCACUCAUUCAAAGAGUGCGUAAUAGCUCACUGGUCGAGUGAUCCUGCGCCGAAGAUUUCCGGGGCUAAAACUUACUACCGAAGCUACGGCAUCAGUAAUGAUGGGUAGGGGAGCUUCCCAUACGGGUUGAAGCAUGACCGUAAGGACAUGUGGACAGUAUGGGAGUGAGAAUGUUGGCAUGAGUAGCGAGAUGUGGGUGAGAAUCCCACAGGCCGUAAACCCAAGGUUUCCAGGGGAAGGUUCGUCCGCCCUGGGUUAGUCGGGACCUAAGCUGAGGCCGAAAGGCGUAGGUGAUGGACAACAGGUUGAUAUUCCUGUACUACCGAUAACCGUUUGAGAGAAGGGAUGACACAGUAGGAUAAGCUAAGCACACUGUUGGUUAUGUGUGCCCAAGCAUUGAGGCAGUCAAAGUAGGCAAAUCCGCUUUGAUAAUGCUGGGAUGUGAUGGGGAGCGAAAUUUAGUAGCGAAGUAGCUGAUUUCACACUGUCAAGAAAAGUCUCUAUCGAGGUUAAAGGUACCCGUACCGCAAACCGACACAGGUGGGUGAGGAGAGUAUCCUAAGGCCAGCGAGAGAACUGUUGUUAAGGAACUCGGCAAAAUGACCCCGUAACUUAGGGAUAAGGGGUGCCACCAUCAGGUGGCCGCAGAGAAUAGGCCCAAGCGACUGUUUACCAAAAACAUAGGUUUCUGCUAAGUCGCAAGACGAUGUAUAGGAGCUGACGCCUGCCCGGUGCUGGAAGGUUAAGGGGAUCUGUUAGAGCAAUCGAAGCAGUGAACUUAAGCCCCAGUAAACGGCGGCCGUAACUAUAACGGUCCUAAGGUAGCGAAAUUCCUUGUCGGGUAAGUUCCGACCCGCACGAAAGGCGUAACGAUUUGGGCACUGUCUCAACAACAGACUCGGUGAAAUUGUAAUUCCGGUGAAGAUGCCGGAUACCUGCGACAGGACGGAAAGACCCCAUGGAGCUUUACUGUAGCUUGACAUUGGGUCUUGGUACUACAUGUACAGGAUAGGUGGGAGGCUUUGAAACCAGGACGCCAGUUUUGGCGGAGCCAUCCUUGGGAUACCACCCUUGUAGUACUGGGACUCUAACCAUAGGCCAUGAAUCUGGUCUUGGGACACUGUCAGGUGGGCAGUUUGACUGGGGCGGUCGCCUCCCAAAAGGUAACGGAGGCGC
rnacentral:rRNA from 1 species